rnacentral:rRNA from 1 species
AUUGAACGCUGGCGGCAGGCCUAACACAUGCAAGUCGAACGAGUGGCGGACGGGUGAGUAAUGUCUGGGAAACUGCCUGAUGGAGGGGGAUAACUACUGGAAACGGUAGCUAAUACCGCAUACCAUCGGAUGUGCCCAGAUGGGAUUAGCUAGUAGGUGGGGUAAAGGCUCACCUAGGCGACGAGCCCUAGCUGGUCUGAGAGGAUGACCAGCCAACAGGGAACGUGGACACGGUCCAGAUUCCUACGGUAGGCAGCAGGGGGGAAUAUUGUACAAUGGGCGAAAGCCUGAUGCAGCCAGGCCGCGUGUAUGAAGAAGGCCUUCGGGUUGUAAAGUACUUUCAGCGGGGAGGCGUUACCCGCAGAAGAAGCACCGGCUAACUCCGUGCCAGCCGCCGCGGUAAUUC